rnacentral:rRNA from 1 species
AAUAGAUACCCGGGUAGUCCACGCCGUAAACGAUGGAUGCUAGCUGUUAUGCGUAUCGACCCGUGUAGUAGCGAAGCUAACGCGUUAAGCAUCCCGCCGUGGGGAGUACGAACGCAAGUUUAAAACUCAAAGGAAUUGACGGGGACCCGCACAAGCGGUGGAGCGUGUUCUUUAAUUCGAGGCUAAGCGAAGAACCUUACCAGGGCUUGACAUCCUUGGAAUUUCUCCGAAAGGAGAGAGUACUUUAUUGGACCAAGUGACAGGUGCUGCAUGGCCGUCGUCAGCUCGUGUCGUGAGGUGUUUGGUUAAGUCCAUUAACGAGCGCAACCCUUAUGAAUAGUUGUAUUUUUCUAUUCAGACUGCCCGGUAACGGGGAGGAAGGGGGGAUGAUGUCAGGUCAGUAUUGCCCUUACGCCCUGGGCUAGAAACGCGCUACAAUGGCCGGUACAAUGCGCUGCCAACCCGCGAGGGGGAGCAAAUCGCAUCAAAGCCGGUCCCAGUUCGGGAUAAGAGGCUGAAAACUCGCCUCUUUGAAGCCGGAAUCGCUAGUAAUCGUAGGUC